rnacentral:tRNA from 1 species
GUCCCUAUAGCGCAAUGGAUAGCGCGUUGGACUUCUAAUCCAAAGGUCGUGGGUUCGAAUCCUACCUGGGAUG